CCGAGGUCGACUCCGGGGAGGGGGCGGGGCCGAGGGGGCGCGGCUCCCGGCGGCCCCCGGGGCUGCGGGGUCUUGCCUGCGGGGUUCUCCCGGUCCGCGACUGAAAUCACCGCGUCUGCUCCCCCGCCGCCCUCCGCGCCUUUGCCUGGUUCUGCAUCCUCACUCUGCCCAGGGGUCCCCCAUCUGAGCGCGCGGGAACCCGAAGAAAAGACUGAACCACGUUAAAGCGGGGAGUGGCAGAGGCCUUUGGGCCUCCCGAAACCCCUCUAAAAACAAGAACAAUUCAUAUCCCCCCGCCUCUCCUUUGCAAGCUCAGGUCUCCUGGGAAGGAUCCCCCAUUACCUGGAGACAAGCUCUGGACAGAUCUAGGUUCAAAUCCCAACAUCCCAUGACUUGGGGGAGCCCCAAAGUCCUAAGAGCGCCUCAUCUGUGAAACGGGCUUUACCCACCCACCCCUCGGUGUUGGUAAAAUUAAAUGAGAUCGUGCAUGCCAAUUGUUGAGAACACAGUAAGCGCUCAAUAAAUGUUAGCUGCUGUCAUUUUUAAUGUCAUUGCCGUUGUUAUGAAAAUGGCUUGAAUCCCGACUCCUUCACUGACUCGCUGUGGACCCUAAGGAUCCUGUGGCCGCCCAGCCUCAAUUUUCCCCGUUGUACAAUGCAGACCUUUUCUUCAGAGCUGUUGCAUGCAGGUGGCGUUCCAUAAAUGCAGACUCUUGCCCAAGCGGUGGAGGAGAGUGGAAGCCUCUACAGAGCUUCUCCAGGGUCUCUGGAGUCUCUAGAGCGUGCAGCUUGGCUCUUGGCCCACCCGCACUCCCUUGGAAAUCCGGUUUUAACAGAGAAAGAAAAAGGAGGAGGAGGAGGAGGAGAAUGACACCGAUCCAGAAUCCAGAAUGACACCGAUCCAGAAUCCAGAAACCCCUUCAAAGGCCCCCACCUGGUCCGGUCUCACCACUCACCUGGACCAGCGCAGUAGCCUCCUUCCGGGACUCUGGGCUCCGACCUUUACUUCCUAGUUUAUUUUCCCCACAACAGCCUAAGGAUGCCUGUGAACACCUGAGUCAGGUCACAUCCCUUUUCCGCCUAGAUCCCUCCGUGGCUCCCACUUUCUUUAGAGCAGAAGCCAAAGUCCUGCUGGAAGACCACAGGCCUUGCACUAUUUACCUCCUUCACCUUCGCUUUCACAUCUUCCCCUUGCUCACUCCGUCCAGCCACACCAGCCUCCUGGCUGUCCCUCGAUUAUUUAUCAGUUGAAUUAAAGAACCCUUUGAGUUAUUUCUUUUGCUCCCAAUUUACAGUUGAGGAAACUGAGGCACAUAUCUCCCCAAGACUUUUGGAUAAUUUAGGUCUCCAUUUAAAUGUCACCUUCUCUGGGGCGCCUGGGUGGCUCAGUCGUUAAGCAUCUACCUUCGGCUCAGGUCAUGAUCCCAGGGUCUUGGGAUCAAGCACCGCAUCAGGCUCCCUGCUCAGCGGGAAACCUGCUUCUCCCUCUCCCACUCCCCCUGCUUGUGUUCCCUCUCUCGCUGUCUCUCUCUCUGUCAAAUAAAUAAAAUCUUUAAAAAAGAAAUAAAUGUCACCUUCUCUGAGAGACCAUUCUAUGCUGUCAUAUUUAUUUAAAAUAUGGCCCUGUUUUAUUUAAACUGUCACUCCUCUGAAAUUGACCAGCAUUUGGCCUAUGCUCACUCAGGUUUUGUGGAAUGAGUGAGUAGACACAGGGUGAGGUGUCCUCAGUUAUAACUGAGGAGAAUCCCCAGUUAUGGAGCUGGUGUGUUUAUAGCCCUUGCCCUGUCUUCUUCUAAUUCUUCAGCCCAUCUGUGUUACAGGUGGGGAGGAUGCGGCAAAGCUAGGCUCCAAGCUGACCCAGGGACUGGGCCACUGUGUUCAGGGAUGGGCUUUCUGCUGCCUGCCAGGUCCCAGGCUCCCUCCUCCCUGGAUGGAGCUGGGGAACCCUGCCAAAUUCUCACUCCAACCUUCCAACAUUCGUUUAUUCAGUGGAUAUUUAUCGAUGCCCGCUGGGGACUUUGGUGGCACUGGAAACAGAGUCGCACUCAGGCUUGAAAGAGGGAGACCAAGGACUCAUUGUGCAAUCUCAACUAAAUAUGGUAACUGCACUGGCACCUCCCUGCAGCUGCUCUGGCCCCUCUCCAGUCUGCUUUGGGGCCUCGGAAACUCUAACCUGUCCCUGGUUCUCUGAAGGUCUUAGGAAAAACACCUGUCCCUUACCUGGUCUACAGGGUAGUCUUGUCAGGCCUCUGCCCACCUGUCCAGCUGCAUCCCCCUCUACUCCCCUCAUCCCCAUCCAGCAACACUGGCCUUCCUUCUGUUCCUCAAAUAUUCUCACUUUACUUCCAACCACAGGGCCUUUACACUGGCUGUUUUCUGGUCUGGAAUGCCCUUCCAUCCCAUCUCCCCAAGGCUAGCCUUUUCUGAUCAUUUAGGUCUCUGUUUAAACGUCACCUCUUCUGAGAGAACUUUCCAUACCCUAUCAUAUUUAUUAUAAAUAUGGCCCUGUUUUAUUUAUUUUAACUGUCACUCCUCUCUGAAAUUGCUCAACAUUUGGCCUACACUCACUCAAUCUUUGCAGAAUGUGUGAGUGGACACAGUGUGAGGUGUCAGGAGAAAGGUAUCCCAAGACGACCCAUGCCUUAAGGAGGCAGCUGCCCCACUGUGGAAGAGGCAGAAGGGCUGGCACUAAGGACAAAUUAGGAAACCACAAAGUAGAUAAAGAGGAAUAGGGUGUCUGGUUGAAGGAACAACAGGGCAAAGCCCUAGAAGUGGGUGAGGGAGAAUUUGGCACGUCCUGAUUCUUCCCCUCAUCUCCAUUCUGCUCCCCUCAUUCACACCACUCUGGCCUCCUCACCACUCCUCAAAAAAGCCCAUUACUACCUCAGGGCCUUUGUACUUGCUGUUCCUUUCUGCCUACAGUGUUUUUCCUUCUCAUCUUGGCAUUCUUUCUUCUUCACUUCAUUUCCAUCUUUGCUCAAAUGCCUUCUGAGAGUACUCCCUGCCUGCUACCAAACUACCCCUCACAUAGCUCCAUUUCUCUUCCUUGCAAAUUUUAAUAGAUUUUACUCUAUUUUCUUCCUUGUCUGUCUCAAUCAGGAUGUCAGCUCUCCAAGAACAGAGAUCAUUGUCUUGUUCACUGCUGAGUCCCCAGCUCCUAGAACAGUGUCUAGCACAUGGAAGGUGCUCGAAUAAAUAGCUGCUGGAUGAACAAGUGGUUGAACAAACAGGACAUCAUGGGGACUCUUUCAGAGCCUCCACCCUGGAGAACCAAGUGGCCGCGGGCUAACGCCCACUUCAAAAGCCCUGAACUCCAUGCCAGACGUAGAAGCCACGUUACAUAAAGGCGAGACACUCGCCAAAGGCAAAUCAUCCCCG